AGCGAACGCUGGCGGCAGGCCUAACACAUGCAAGUCGAACGAACUCUUCGGAGUUAGUGGCGGACGGGUGAGUAACACGUGGGAACGUGCCUUUUGGUUCGGAAUAACUCAGGGAAACUUGUGCUAAUACCGAAUGUGCCCUUCGGGGGAAAGAUUUAUCGCCAUUAGAGCGGCCCGCGUCUGAUUAGCUAGUUGGUGAGGUAACGGCUCACCAAGGCGACGAUCAGUAGCUGGUCUGAGAGGAUGACCAGCCACACUGGGACUGAGACACGGCCCAGACUCCUACGGGAGGCAGCAGUGGGGAAUCUGGCGCAAUGGGCGAAAGCCUGACGCAGCCAGGCCGCGUGAAUGAUGAAGGUCUUAGGAUUGUAAAAUUCUUUCACCGGGGACGAUAAGGACGGUACCCGGAGAAGAAACCCCGGCGAACUUCGU
rnacentral:rRNA from 1 species